AAUCUUGCAUCAAAAUCCAAAAAGUUGGAUUUUUGGUCAACUCUCGGGUAGUCAUCAGCUGGCCGUGUACCGGUACGGGAUUGCUUGCUGUACCGGUACGGGGUUGAUGGCUGUACCGGUACGGGCUCGUGUACCGGUACACAGAGCACUUCCCAGCGAACCCGAGGCUCGGGUUUGGCAUUUUCGUGGGUUGUGUACCGGUACGCGGGCCCGUGUACCGGUACGCAGUGCAGUUUCUGAGCAGUUCGAACUGCAGGGGUGUUUUUGCGAUUGUGCCUAUUCUAUAUAGCACCCACGCCCCUUGGACCUCUCCCUGAGCUUGGAACAGCAGAGGAAGAGGUAGGGUUGCCCUCUCCACCACUCCAUUUGAUUUUGAUCCUCUUUUAGCUUAGGUUUUGGUGGAUUAAACCUCUCUUUUGUUCCUUUUGCUUGAUU
rnacentral:lncRNA from 1 species